CUGGUGGUUGGGGCCAAGACGCCAUUAAACAGGCUGGCUCUCGCGUGGCGCCACGGCGCGCGAGGGUGAGAUUUACCGGGGCUGGCGCCUGCCGGUACUUCGCCGCUUCCACACGGCGGGCGCGAGACCCACGAAGCGGACACGCAUGUAGAGUCCUGCGGGGACGCAUUCUCGGACGCGGGUUCGACUCCCGCCGCCUCCACCA
rnacentral:tmRNA from 1 species